rnacentral:rRNA from 1 species
CCUACGGGAGGCAGCAGUGAGGAAUAUUGGACAAUGGUCGAAAGACUGAUCCAGCCAUGCCGCGUGCAGGAUGACUGCCCUAUGGGUUGUAAACUGCUUUUAUACGGGAAGAAAAACACCUACGUGUAGGUGACUGACGGUACCGUAAGAAUAAGGACCGGCUAACUCCGUGCCAGCAGCCGCGGUAAUACGGAGGGUCCAAGCGUUAUCCGGAAUCAUUGGGUUUAAAGGGUCCGUAGGUGGAUAAUUAAGUCAGAGGUGAAAUCCUGCAGCUUAACUGUAGAAUUGCCUUUGAUACUGGUUGUCUUGAGUUAUUAUGAAGUGGUUAGAAUAUGUAGUGUAGCGGUGAAAUGCAUAGAUAUUACAUAGAAUACCAAUUGCGAAGGCAGAUCACUAAUAAUAUACUGACACUGAUGGACGAAAGCGUGGGGAGCGAACAGGAUUAGAUACCCUGGUAGUCCACGCCGUAAACGAUGGUCACUAGCUGUUCGGAUUUCGGUCUGAGUGGCUAAGCGAAAGUGAUAAGUGACCCACCUGGGGAGUACGUUCGCAAGAAUGAAACUCAAAGGAAUUGACGGA